UAAGAUGACUGAGUGUUAGGUGGUGGUUUUUAAACCCAUGAACGGGGGCUCAAACCCCCUCUUGC
rnacentral:tRNA from 1 species